AACGAACGCUGGCGGCAUGCCUAACACAUGCAAGUCGAACGAGACCUUCGGGUCUAGUGGCGCACGGGUGCGUAACGCGUGGGAACCUGCCUUUAGGUUCGGAAUAACUCAGAGAAAUUUGAGCUAAUACCGGAUGAUGUCUUCGGACCAAAGAUUUAUCGCCUUUAGAUGGGCCCGCGUUGGAUUAGCUAGUUGGUGGGUAAAGGCCUACCAAGGCGACGAUCCAUAGCUGGUCUGAGAGGACGACCAGCCACACUGGAACUGAGACACGGUCCAGGCUUCAUUUGGAGCCAGCAGUGAGGAAUUUUGGACAAUGAGCGAAAGCUUGAUCCAGCAAUACUACAUGAGUGAUGAAGGCUUUCAAGUUGUAAAACUCUUUGGUUGAGGAGGAUAAUGACAGUACUCAACAAAAUAGCCCCCGGCUAACUUCGUG
rnacentral:rRNA from 1 species